CAACUGCUGAGGAGUCCCACAAUAGGACGAAACAACCGUUCAGUGC
rfam:Schistosoma curassoni strain Dakar, Senegal genome assembly, scaffold: SCTD_scaffold0001997